CCCGCGGCUCGGCGGAUUUAAAGGGGCAGCCCCACCGAUCCGGGGGGCCAUGCCGAACUUCUGCGCGGCCCCCAACUGCACCCGCAAGAGCACGCAGUCUGACCUGGCCUUCUUCCGCUUUCCCCGGGACCCGGUCAGGUGUCAAAGAUGGGUAGAGAACUGUCGAAGGGCAGAUUUAGAAGAUAAAACUCCAGAUCAACUCAACAAGCACUACAGACUGUGCGCUAAGCAUUUUGAGACCUCGAUGAUAUGUAGAAGUAGCCCUUACAGAACAGUUUUAAGAGAUAAUGCUGUGCCAACUAUAUUUGAUCUUACAAGUCAUCUGAACAAUCCCCACAGCAGACAUAGAAAACGGAUAAAAGAGCUGAGUGAAGAUGAAAUAAGAACACUGAAGCAGCAAAAGAUUAAUGAAGCUUUUGAACGAGAACAGGCAACUCAAGAACUGAAUGAAAGCAAUGCACAAAACGCUGUCUCAGAGGAAGGUGGGGAGCAGCAAGAGGAAAAAUCUGUUCCUCUAACUCUAGAAGAAAGGGAAAACAAGGAUUACCUUAAGUCAUUGUUUGAAAUUCUGAUCCUCAUGGGUAAACAAAAUAUUCCCUUGGAUAGCCAUAAUGCGGAUGAGCUUCCAGAAGGUAUUUUUACUUCAGAUAACUUUCAGGCUCUGCUGGAAUAUAGAAUCAAUGCUGGAGAUGAAGUUCUGAGGAAACGAUUUGAGAUGACUGCAGUCAAUCUUGAGUAUUGUUCGAAAACGCAGCAGAAACAAAUGCUUGAGAUCUGUGAGAGCUGCAUUAGGGAAGAAACAUUGAGGGAAGUAAGAGACUCGCAUUUCUUUUCUAUUGUCACUGAUGAAGUAGUAGACAUAGCAGGAGAGGAACAUUUGCCAGUCUUGGUGAGAUUUGUUGAUGAUUCUCAUAAUCUGAGAGAAGAAUUCAUAGGAUUUUUACCUUAUGAGGCUGACCCUGAAAUAUUAGCUGUUAAGUUCCAUACGACUAUUACUGAAAAAUGGGGUCUGAACAUGGAAUACUGUCGGGGUCAAGCCUACAUCGUCUCCAGUGGAUUUGCUUCUAAAAUGAAAGUUGUGGCUACAAGACUCUUGGAGAAGUAUCCACAAGCUGUGUAUACUCUGUGUUCCUCUUGUGCCUUAAAUGUGUGGUUGGCAAAGUCGGUUCCUGUUGUUGGUGUUUCCACGGCCCUAGGAACAAUCGAAGAAGUUCGCUGUCUUUUUAGUCGAUGUCCACAGUUACUGGUGGAACUGGACAAUACAAUUUCUGCUCUUUUUCAGAACAACGAGGAGAAGGGUAAUGAGCUGAAGGAGAUCUGCCGUUCUCAGUGGACAGGCAGGCAUGAUACUUUUGAGGUUUUGGUGGAUCUCAUGCAAGCUUUGGUGCUGUGUUUGGACGCAGUAAGCAAUGAUUCCACUGUCAGGUGGAACAACUUCAUUGCUGGUCGAGCAUUUGUACUUUCAAGUGCAUUAACAGAUUUUGACUUCAUUGUCACUAUUGUAAUUCUGAAAAACGUUCUGUCUUUUACGAGAGCAUUUGGAAAAAACCUCCAGGGACAAACAUCAGAUGUAUUCUUUGCAGCUAGCAGCUUAACGGCGGUGUUGCAUUCUCUGAACGAAGUGAUGGAGAAUAUUGAAGUUUAUCAUGAAUUUUGGUUUGAGGAAGCAACAAACUUGGCUGCAAAACUGGAUGUACAAAUUAAACUCCCUGGAAAAUUCCGCAGGUCUCAACAGGGUAACUUGGAUGCUGAGUUAACGUCGGAAAAUUACUACAAGGAAAUUCUUAGUGUCCCUACAGUGGAACAUAUAAUUCAAGAAUUAAAAGAUAUAUUCUCAGAACAGCAUUUAAAAGCUCUGAAGUGUUUAUCUUUAGUGCCCUCAGUCAUGGGUCAGCUCAAAUUCAAUACGUCUGAGGAGCAUCAUGCUGACAUGUACAAAAAUGACUUACCUAAUCCGGACACGCUUUCUGCUGAGCUUCAUUGUUGGAGAAUCAAGUGGAAGCACAGAGGAAAGGAUAUUGAACUUCCAGCUACUAUUUAUGAAGCACUUCACUUGCCAGACAUAAAGUAUUUCCCUAAUGUAUAUGCAUUGCUUAAAGUCUUGUGCAUUCUUCCAGUGAUGAAAGUGGAGAAUGAAAAAUACGAAAUAGGACGAAAGCGCUUAAAGGCAUACCUGAAAAACACCGUGACAGAGCAAAGGUCAAGCAACCUAGCUUUGCUGAACAUAAACAUUGAUAUAAAACAUGACUUAGACUUAAUGGUGGACACCUACAUUAAACUCUAUCCAGUGGGAGGAAAACCCCCAGCAACAGAAAAUUGAAUGACUGUAGAGACAGUGAUAAAUACAACUCCCAGUGUGACCACAGCUUGCAUUAUAGUUACCCCUGGGAGUGUCUUUGAAGGCAAGGCAGGUACUUGUACAAUUUAUUCAGUGAUACUGAGGAUCAGGAGCAGUGCCCUGGUGACAGAACAGGACCUUUGCAGUUCCCUACUCCUUUUUUGCAGUGUCCUAAAGUUAGACAUCAUCAAGCAAACAGUCUUUGUGACUACCCAGAACAGCAAGGCACAAUUUCCCCCUAACCCAGGAUGCCUGAAGAGCAGUAGCACGAGCAACCACAUAAGACUGUGUCUGCAGGGAAUAAAGAAUGAGAAA